CGGCCCGGCGCCGCCCUCCGAGCCCGGCGGGCCGCCGCCGCGGCAGGGGGAGGCGCGGGCGCGGCGGCGCGCGGCGCGGCCCGGUCCGGCCCGGCGCGGUGCGGUGCGGUGCGGUCCGGUUCGAUCCGGUUCGGCGCGGUGCGGAGCGCUGCGUUCGGUAGUGCUUUCUGCCGCUCAUUCUGUCUACCACGUGGUCGGCUGCGGAGCUGUGAAGUUUUGUUCAAUGGUCUUUCUCUCAUUGUCCCAUAUACCAAUUAAUGUGGCUGGACAACUCUCCCUCUUACCUUGCAAGUGGAAAAGAAGAUGCAUGCUCUACAGUUUCAGAGGGAUAUAGGAUUUACCCACAAAGCUUCCUCUGACCUCUGAUUUGGAAACAUUUCCCCUUUCUAACUGUGGAAGUUAGAUUUCAAGUUCAUGUAAACAUUCCGAUAAACUGGGAACUCUGAGGUUUGGAAAACAUCUUGGCAAGCAAAAGAAAGGAAAUUGGCUCAGGGAAGGCAGAAUGAAGAAAUCCACAGUGACUUAGGACUGAUCAGUUUAUAUAGAUAGAAUAUGACAGCAGGACCAUAUUUAUACAGAUGUAUAUUCUCCACUCCUUUGCCGUUCUACUUUUAAUUGCUGCCAAAAGUAUGGUUUAUGCCAUUGCUUUAAGAAAUCCUUUGCAGUUUUAGUAGAUGUUAGUUAAGAAAACCUGCUUGAUAUUCACUCUUUUCCUUCCUUAGAUACGUUUCUUUGGACCAUCUUCAUUAAGGUGAUUGGUAGGGGAGAUUUAUAUUUGUGUGGAGGAAGAUGUAUACGUCUGCAGAUAGGACAGUAAAACAGAUGCUUCAGCAAGGUCGUAACAUUCAACAGAAGAAGGGUACAGAGUAAUUUUGAGUGAGAGGGUGCGAACUCCUAGAAGGUAAGAGCUGACUUAAAAGUCCCAGAUACUGAUCCACUGUUCUUCACAUCUGAUCAUUACACAGUUCUUUAGCAUCAUUCCAGCACUCGCAUUAGCAUUUCCUUGCUUGCACUAGCAGCAGGAUCAAGGCUUUAAUGCCACCUCUGCAUCUUGAGGAUUUAGUUCAAAAUCUGGUGUUUCUUCAGACCUCCCACAGAGGGAGGAUUUCCUGUGCCUCGAUCCUUCUGCCCUGCUCUAGAGUAGUCCCGCGCUGGAGUAUAUCUGUAACACUGACAGAAACCUAGAAAAAAAGGUUUGUGGGGGGGGUUUUUCACUCUCCUCCCGCACUCUGGUUUUGCUGUGACAUUGUCCAAUUAAAUGUAUCCCUGCCUCGGUUAGUUCUUUCUGUGUGGUUUCUGUUACGUUACUUCAGACUGCUUCCAUUUUCUGUUUUGUCCUACUUGUAACCAAUUUCAAUAAAGUUUUACUCGAAAAUGUGUCUGUGUGAACCUUGCUGUAUCCGGAUACAUUGGACUGAGUUGAACAGUGAAGUCCUCUUUGAGAGCUGCUACAGUUAUUUAUUUUUUAUUUGGUAUUUCAUAAAAUACGAUUGUUUGGUGCUUUUUAGCUUUUAAUUAUUCAGCAUCAUGGUAAGAAAGGUUUUUAUAAGCUCAAAAAUAUCUUACACCAAGUUUUGCCCAGGUUUGUUGUUAUUUGAUUUGGUUUAUCAGCGCAGAAAAACUGUUUUUUGGAGCACCUAAGUGACCAUUUGGGAUUCAGUGACAACAGCACUUAUUUCUGCUUCCAUUGACUUCAGUAGGAAUAGGAUAUGGCUUUCUGUGUGUGCGCAGUCCUGUCUGUUGUCUUACAGUAUUGUAUUUUACAUGCUGCUAUUUUAUAUUAAAAGCCAUUUUUAAAAGCCUGGACUUUUAGUUAUAGCCACUAAAUUGGAUAUAGGCCACAGACCCUAAUCUUGCAGAAAGAUAGCAGUUGUCCCUUCUAACGCCUGGUUUUAAGGGGGGUACAACGUAUCAUCGUCUGCACAGCUGGACCUCACUGGCCCGGAAGCGUCAGGCACAUCAGGUAUGCUAUGCAGUAGUCCCGAGGGCUGUGGGAAAAAAUGAGUUGACUUCGCUGGAAACUGAUUUGGGCGCAUAAUUGCUGAGUCAGCUUCCUGGCUGACCUGGAGGAAGGAAGUCGUGUUGGAGCUGCAGCAGCUUUCUUCAGCUCCGGAGCUACUUCCCUGUGCCUUUGUUUCCUUGCCUGGGAGACGGGGGUGGUAUGGAGCUUACCUGUCCACUGGAAUACCGCUGGAAUUAGUGGGUUCGCAAGGUGUCAGACCAGCAGAUACUGCUAGAUGUUUUAAUGCAGUCUGUAAAUUACUGGUGAUUACGUUUUAACCUGUUAUCCCUGUACUGAACAGCUAUGUUUUAGUCAAAGAAAACUCAAUCUUUCAGAAAAGAAUCCAGUCUUGAUUCAGUGAAUCUACUGUUUUUUAUUAAUACGUUACAGUACUAACAUUUUGCACCUUUUUUUUGUUUGAUUCUUUUCUAGUACAUUAAGGAGCUUUUUAAUACUCAGUAUUUUUUCCCAUUGAAGCUAUGUGCACAUAAUAAUCAAGUUGCCACUUAAUUUUAUUUUUAGUAAGCUCUAGAUAUAGAACUGUUCAUGUCUGUCAGUAUUAGGCAUUAUUUCCAUCACUGUGAUUGCCUUUGUAGCUCUUGUCUGCAUGACUGACUUUUUUAGUGUCCCCUUUAAAUGUGGAUACACAAAACCACAGCUAGAACUCCAGUUUUGUUCUUGCCAGUGCUGUAUGCAGAGCUAAAAUCACCUCCUCCUUCCUUCUAAGUACAUGGCACUUGCUCAAGCCCAGCUGGGUGCUGGAGAGUCACAGAUCAAACUGAGACUUAGCACAGACCGGUGCCCUUGGAAGAACCAGGCUACGCUAUUUCUUAUUUGUCCUUACCGAUUCUUUUGUGCAAGACUAAAUCCACAGUUAGGGAUAUUUGAAAUGUAAAAGUAAUUGGAAAGAAACAUAUAUUUUUCUGCAGCAUACUUGGGAAAUGUUUCCAUGUAAUUGAUGAGGUUCUUCUUGAGGUAGUUCACUUUUAAAGAUCACUACAUAAAAAAUGCCUUUGAAUGUGCAAUAUUGUAAAUCAAAACUGAUCACAAAGGGAAGUUAAAAUAAACAACUUAACUAUUGAAAAUACUCCUCACUACUUGCAGGGAUCAGGCUAGUGAAAUCAAGCAAGGAAGUAGCAAAUGUGCUCUUAGCUCCGUUGGUGUCAGUCCAAAGGAAUGCUACUACCCUGAAUGGAGCGAGUCUGGAGCAGUGUGUGUUCGCGCACUCUGGGAGGGAGGCUCUGCCUUACCUACAGGGGAUUAAAUGAAACAAUAUCAUACUAAUAAUUAAGUUUGAAGGCUCUCCUAAAAUCUGAUUCUUGUUAUAUUUUAUUUACAUUCUGUAGCAGAUGCUUUCGGGGAUGGAUGCAUCGGACUCUUGAGGCCAACACACCCUGUGAAUACUGUUUAAAAAAAGCAUGUAUGGCUUUCUUUCCACUUUGUUGUGUUGUCAGUUUGGUAGGACAACAGCACUGUGCAUGAGAAGUGGAAAGAGCAAAUAGACGUGUUCUUUAGCUGCCUACAGCCGGGAUCUGAUCAUGUCCCAUUCCUUGUGAUGGUAGCACUCGUGAGCCUGGAAUCAUUCAUGAUUCAACAAAAUUAUGUCUGUUGUAGCUGUGGCAACCCAGACCUUAGAAAGCAGCUUAUGACCUAAAGCUGAGGCUGCUUCUCUUUGAGUAUUGCUGGGGUUUUUUUCUUCCUCACUAAGCUAUGUUUAAUUGGCCAAGGGGAAAAAAAACAAAACAACUGUUCUUUGAUUAUGACAAUGUUUUGAUGUUUUGUAUUUUACCCAAACACAAUCUCAGUAACAGAAAAAACAGAAAUUGGAAACUCAGAUAAUGACAUUGAUAACAAGUUUUGUCAUUAAAGCACUGAAUGUUUUUUGCUGUUUCGCUACCAAAUCUGACCUUGAAUUUUGAUCUUCUUAUAGGCCUGUCUUUUCAGAGACCUUGCUUUGACCAGAAGGAUUAUACGAAUAGGAUGAGGAGGGUACAACUGGGAGUCCUCAGCAGGACAUGCAAUGGUAUGCAUAUCCAGGAGGAGAGAGAUUGUGUCUAAAGAAGGUCUUGAAAGCUGGAGUGUUCUAAAUUCCCAUUCCAAAGGAAAACCUACUUCUGCUGUGCCCUGCAUUCAGCUGUAAGUCUUGCCUGAAAUGCCGUAAAGCAGAUAUUACUGUGGAAUAAGCCACGCUGGUGAGAGACAUGUAGUUCCCAUUCACUUCCUUAAGCAUCAGGUGGUUUUGACCGGGAUGACUGGAAAAGCCCAUCUUUCCCUCGUCCUGCAAUAUCAGAUAGGAUUCAUUCCUUCUUAGGCCUUAAUGUCCCACAGCUGGCAACAGAGCUUCCUCCCUGGUGGCUCCUCACCUCUGCGAUACGCUCGCUUUGGCUUUACCUCUGAGACUUACCAGUGAUGAAGGACCAGUUUAUUUUGUGUGGUAUGUGGACUGAUAUUUUAUCUGAGAUUGCUUUAUGUGCAUAACAUGUGCUUUAGUGUUUUUGCAACUGAGGUGUUGUCCAAAUUAACAAAUGAUAUUAAUGAAUUCCUUCCUGUGUUUAAACAGACUCAGAUUCAGUAUUUUACUCAAAUUAGCAAAUUAUUAAGUCGGAUAAGAAUAAUACUGGGUUACAAAAUGUUCUUGCUUCACUGAUUUUGACAAUUGCAGUUUUAGUUUUAAUUAUUUAUAACAUCAUUGUACUAAUUUAAUAUAGCAUAUUUCUGUUCAGUAAUGAAAUUAGUGGUAUGAGACUGCAGCACUUGCUGUUAACACUUUGCUGAGUAAUAUGUACAUUAAUUGUAUUAGAGCAGCUUUAAAAUACAUAUGGACUCAAGGGUGAAGGUGUUUUAAACUUGCUUGUUCUUCAUGUAGGUAAAAAUAGUGUCAUGUAAGACUUGGUCUUAAGUAAGAAAAUCAGUGCGACUACUCAUGGGAGGAAAGUUCUAGUACUGUGAAAUCCUUUAAGUCUCUGUAGGGUCAGGCCUUAACCAGCAGACAUUAAAGAGCAUAUUUUG